rnacentral:lncRNA from 1 species
GUUUAUUAGCCUAUAGGUUCACUUUUGUGCAACUCUUGGUAACCGUCCUCAAGUUGGGGUGCUACACAUAGUAGUAGUGCGCAUGUCAUCAUAUCCUUUACUAUUAAAUUACUCUCCCGUUAUUUAUUGUUACCUAAGCGUUCUAAUGGUAUCCAAUACGUACCUUAUGUGUGCAUAACCCGUCCCUUGCAUGUGGCCCUGGAGGUAUCUAGAACCUCUAUUUAAGAAAGUUCUAGACUCACUUAUGUUGUUUCAAAAGGAAAAAACUAAGCGACAAACAAAUGUUAAAUAGGACUAUCACAUAAAGAUGCAAUUAAGGGCUCAUAUUUACAUCCACAAAUAAACAAAAAAUUUCACACCUUAAACAAAUAGUUUUAAAACUAUUUAAAGUCCU